rnacentral:rRNA from 1 species
UGGGGAAUAUUGGACAAUGGGGGAAACCCUGAUCCAGCAAUGCCGCGUGAGUGAAGAAGGCCUUAGGGUUGUAAAGCUCUUUCGCCCGCGAAGAUAAUGACGGUAGCGGGAGAAGAAGCCCCGGCUAACUCCGUGCCAGCAGCCGCGGUAAUACGGAGGGGGCUAGCGUUGUUCGGAAUUACUGGGCGUAAAGCGCACGUAGGCGGAUGCGCAAGUUGGGGGUGAAAUCCCGGGGCUUAACCUCGGAAUGGCAUUGGAAACUGGGCAGCUAGAGUGCGGUAGAGGGUAGUGGAAUUCCCGGUGUAGCAGUGAAAUGCGUAGAGAUCGGGAGGAACAUCUGUGGCGAAGGCGACUGCCUGGACCAGCACUGACACUGAGGCACGAAAGCGUGGGGAGCAAACA